rnacentral:lncRNA from 1 species
AAAAAAAAAACAAAAAGAAGACCGAGUUUAGGUCUACGUCAAAAGCCAGAGAAAAAUUAGGGUUCAGGAGUUGGUUACGCGCGAAGAAGGUAUUAGCACCCUCGCGACGCCCAAAAUUGGUAUCUUGUAAAACACGUGUUGUCUUGAUUUUCAAAAAUACGAGUUCAAUAUAAGAUUUAAUCGUGAACUGAUUGAAAAGACGAGAAAUUUUAGUUUUUUGGUUUUUUUAGAAGGGUGUUCUGUCUUUAACACGAGCCGACAAAUUCCAUCCAACAUAGCGAUGAAAUCUACAGCUUAAUGUUAAAUCGAUGCAUUGUCUUACUUAUUAAAAACAACAAUAAGAUUUUCGAAAUAAUGCAAAGCAAAUUAAUAAAUAAAAAUAAAUAGAAGACAGAUCUAGAAGUAUAUUGAAGCAAAUAUAGGUGUGACAAUAAUAUUACAAACAAUAAAGAUGUAUGCGAUAUUAAACGUAAUACGAGAAUUAAACAUGAAAUGGAAACGGUGAAUGUAUAUGUAUACGCGUAUAAUAAUGAUAUUAAGAGUAUGUGCGUGAAAUAUAUAUAUAUGAAUGAUAAUAGUAUUAGAAAUUUACUAUAUAAUAUUUGAAAUAUACAUAAAGUAAGUAAAAAUAUAUAUCACUAAUAAUGUUGAAGUAUAUACAUAAUAAUAUAUAUAAAAAUUUUUGAAAAAUGUAUGUAUAAAAAAUAUAUAUAAGUUUAUAAUGACAAUAAUAAUAAAAGAACAUAUAAAAACAAAUAUAACUUAAUACUUUUAAAAAAUAAAACAAUGGUUAAUAAUAGCAUAAAGGGUAAACAUAUAUAGUAAACAUUAAUGUUAAGACAAUACUAUAGACAUGAAGAAUUUAUAUAUAAUGAAGACACACAAUAAUGCUAAUAAUGAUAAUGAUAGUAAUAAUGAUACUAAUAAUGGUAAAAAUAAUAUAAUAAUGAUAGCAUGAAUAUUAUAUACAAACAAAAAAUAAUAAUAAAUAAUAUUAAUAACAAUAAUAGUAAAAGUAUAAAGAAAGUAUGACAUUAUUGUAAGGUAAGGGAAAUAAAGUAAUAAAUAAUAAUAUGUUAAAGAUGGUAAAUAUAAUAGUAAAUAUAAUAAUGUUACCACAUAUAAAGAGCAUGUAUAUACAUAUAUGAUAAAAAUAUUCAUUAAUAUUAUAUAUAAUAGUAAUACUAAAAAUAAUGAUGCAAUAUAAAAGGUAAAUAUAAUACAAUAAUAAUAUUAAAAUAAAGUAAUUAAGAUAAUACUAUACAUAUACAUACAUGUAUAAUAAAACCUAUACUAAUAUUACAUAUAAUAAUAAUACUAAAAAUAGUAAUAAUAAUACAUUAAAAAUAAUUAUGUUAAUAACCAGAAUAUUAAUAAUAACAAUAAUAAUAGAAAUAAAGUAUUAAUAAUAUUAGGAAUAAUACUAACAAUAUUAAAAAAACGAAAAUAAAAUAAAUAAAAUGAAAAGGGACGAAAAUUAAAUUAAAAUCAAAGUUUUGGGCGAAUUUUAAAAGAAAGUAAAGAGGAGAGGACUUAUUAGAACACGCGAAAAACGUGAAGGGACCAAAACGACAAUAAUUCCUUCCCAUCAAAACGCAGCGUAUCGGUGGGGGCUAAAUUGAAAACCACGAAGGAUUAUGGGGCCAAAUUAAAAACAUGAAAGAUUUAAUUACAAAACAUCAAAAAAGCGGAGGGGUUAAAUGCGGAAAUAACCCCUCCCUUAAAAAACACGCGGAUCCUAGCUGGAGCGGGUCGGGUCGACCCGACCCAGGGCCAAAACGACGUAGUUUUUGUUUAAAAGAGGAGGGGACCAAAACGGUGCAUUUUGGUCCCUAUAAAAGCCAAAAUUUUUUGAAAAUUUUUCAUUUUGUAGCAGGAGAAGAAAAAAAAAAGAAAAAAAAGAGGGGGGAGAGGAGAGAAGGGGGCUACUGGCCAUAGGCCGACCAUCGUCCGGUCGACGGACCUUCGCAGGCACCGGCGCCGGCCACCGUACACGGUUGCCGGAAAGGUAAAAAUUUCCCUUUUUUAUUUUUAUAUUUUUCGUAUUAUACUCUUAUAUAUUUGGUGAUUUUUUUAUAUAUGUUUGUGCAAAAAUAAUCCUAAAACAGUAGCUAAAAGAAAAUCGAAUCACCUUAGGUUUUCCACUUUUUGAUUCUUCGAUUUUUGGUUUUUUGUUUGCCUGAACGCUAUUCUUGCAUUUGAAUACUGAUUGGAUUGCUAGUUUUGCCCUGGGAUCGAAUGUUUUCUUAUUUUUUUGUGUUUUAACUGCCGACCCAUUUACAUUUGUUUUCAUGGCUUUUAUAGCUUAUAAUUUUUACAAGUUGUUUCCUUCCUUUUGCUGUUGCGUGUUCUUUUUGUCCUUGCAGGGUGGUUGAACGGUGGCAUGGGGCUGACAACAGUGAUGGGAAAGAAACGGUGGUCAGAUGGCAGAGGCAAGUGGCCGGUCAAAAGGGUGGUUAGGGUUUCGGUUGAAAGCUGAUUAAAGUUAGGGGUAAUUGGGCUGUUGGGUUUUUGAUGGGUUAGUGGGUUUAGGUAUUGGGUUGUUGGGGUUUUGGGCUUCUGUAAUUGGGUUUUGGGGUUUAAUGAUUGGGCCUCUUGGUUUGAUUGUAAUGGGUCUGGGUAAUUUGUAAACGGCCCAAAAUUGGCCUAUAACAAUCAGGGCGUAGAAAUAAAGUCGAGUACCAAUGCUUUAGCUUUUCCUCGAUUUAGAUCUGAUUGUGGUUUAUCUUGAUCUAUAUAAAUAAUUUUAUUCAGUUUAGUGCUUUUAGAAUUCAAUUCAAUUCAAUCCAUAAUUCAUAUUUAUGAAAAAUUAUGAAUUUACCCUUAACAUUUUAA